rnacentral:lncRNA from 1 species
GACGCGCUUCAUCGUGAAACGAUUUAUCGGGAAAAGUCGGAAUUUUACUUUAAAUCGCGGAAAAAGUGGAAAAUCGUCGCCGAAUUUCGCGGUGCGUUCGUGUAUGGGCUUUCGUACGUCCGUUGAUCCUGAUCCCUCUGCGACCUUAUGACUGAUAUGGUCGCUAGAAGGGCCGAUCCAGCUUUAAGGUUUAAUGAUGGCCAAGUUGACGUGGAGAGGGACGUCCCUGUCGUAGCUGAGUCCACUGCAAUCUUACGUCGAGGAAAUGGUUGACAACGAGUUCCACUCCUAGCCGCACAGUCCAGUACAGCCACUGGCGCUGAUGUCUGCUCAGAGAGGUUUUCCAUGGUUUCAACGCACAGCCGAGUCCACUUCACCCAACGGAGGGGCGAGGACGUCUACCUGGAAAGAAUUCUACCACAACUGCAUUGUCCGUCCCCCAUAAGGAAAUGGGGGUAAGUUUUUAAUUGAAAUUUUCGGGUGUUCAACAGCGUCGAUGGUUGGUUGGUUAUAGACGGUUCAAAAAUUUUUAAAUCGUGGCCACGCAUAAAUUUUACAUUUAUUUUAUUUUUUUUUAUCAAAUUUAAAUACGAUUUUAAUUAAAUUUUCAAAUAUUCUUUUUUUUUGAUUAAGCAUAUUUAAUUAAAAAUAAAAUUAAAAAGUUCUCUUUUGACCUCUGACCACGCAUAAUUUCUUGCCAUUUUCAUUUUUUUUAAAUAAAUGCUGAUACUUGAAACUAAUUUUAAAAUUGUACGUACUGUGCGCGUUCGGAGGCCACGCAUGAUUUUCAUUCAACUUAAAUAGAUUUUUCAGGUUUUUCUUGAUCCAUUAUCAAUAAAUUUAAAUUAUUUAACUCGUGGCCACGCAUCAGUUCUUAAUGCGCAAACAUCGAAGUACCACCACCAUCAUUUUUCCGUUAAUUUAUUUUUAUUGAAAUGUGUUUGUAAAAAGUACAAAUGUUGAAAGGCCAUGCAUGCAUAAAUUCGUAAUAAAAAGGUUUAACCGACGUUAUUAUAGUAAUUUAUUAUCAUUUUUGAUAUUAGAUAUAGCAAUAUUAAAGGAAUCAAGCAAAAAGAUUACUAUGAACAUAUUAUAUCCUAAAUGUCUUUAAUUUUACACUACAGGGUGGUAAAGCUGAAAGAAGCUGUUUCUAAGCAUCCAUAUCAUUUUCCUACACAUAAUUUAAAUUUUUAUAUUCGUCAUUGGGGUUCAUGCGGGCUUUAGGCUGAUUUUUUUUUUAAGAAAAGGGUACGCCACUGGUUUUUGUUGUAAUAAAAAUUAUUUUUGAAUUCUUUAUUUCUUUUCGAGCAUAUUUGGUCUCUAGGUAAUUUUUCAUCUGAGUCACCAGUUUUCGCAUAAAAAAAUAAAAACAUUUUAUUAAAUUUAUCGAAAAAAGUAAUUUUUUUUCUUUCAAAUUUACCACCCCGUAGUGUAUAAUCUAAGACGUUUAGGAUAUAUGUUCAUAGCAUAUGAACACGUCUCUAAAUUUUGUUGGAAGUAAACUUCAGUUUUUCACUUUGGAUCCUAUAAACAAAUUUCCCUGCGCCAGGUAUUAUGAUUGACUGUAUUAUGAAUAAAAAUAUAUGUAUCGUAUUGUUGUUUUAUUUUAUCCCUAAUAAUUGUACAAUAUAAUAAACAAACAACCCAUUAGCUAUUUGUAUACAGACUCCAGUAUCUUAAGUUUCCACGUUAUUUCCUCACUAUUUAACCUUGGUGCUGUUGUUGUCAUCCAACCGCUGCGCCAACUCAUGGACUUCUUACAAUGGAUCACCACGUUUUUGAGCAUCCAAGAAGGGCAUUGGACCAUUAAGGAUUUCGCUGUCUGUUUGUCAUCCAACCAUUGUGCCAGGACUUCUUAUAAUGGACCACUACGUUUCUGACCAUCUAAAAGGGGCAUUGGAUGAUUGAGAAUUUCUCUGUCUGUUUGUCAUACAACUUCUUGUAUUUGACCACCACGUUUCUGACCAUCUAGGAGAGGCAUUGGACUGGCUGUUUAUUAUCCAACUGCUGCGCCAGUAUAUGGACUUCUUACAAUGGACCACUACGUUUCCG